ensembl:processed_transcript predicted gene 15545
AUCCCCCACCUCCCAGGGCUGGGAUGUUUUCUGGGGGAACUGGGGCGCGUGGGCGCGUUAAGUUAUAGGGAAACCCCCAAUUCCUGAGACGUGGAUGAGGGUGUAUUCUAGUCUGUGGUUCCGAAGCCAUCCAUGAUUCGCUGUGAGCUCCCCACCCCUGUGCUGGAAGGCGCCAAGUUCUUUAGACCUGUGGCCUCCAGGUCCUCUGCGGGAAACAUCCUUUGUCUGACCAAGUCCUACAUGUCAAUCACCGGCAAUUCGGACGCCACCUCCUCCAGGAAAUUUCCCUGGAUCUGCAGAAAGUUACUCCUUCCCUGAGGAUGGAUGUCAGUUGCUGGGUUCGUGCACCUUCCUUGUGCCUUCUGUCCCACCAGACUAUGGUCCAAAUAUCAGAUCCUUUAACUCCCCUAUGAGCCCCUCCAGUGCGAUCUUCCGCGUAAGUCACCUAUGACGGGUCAGAGGAAACGCUCAGUCCAAGGGCAAGUUCAAGUCCACAGGUGAGGUGGCCAGGAUGCCAGCCUGCAGAAGACAGAGAGCCCGAGGCUGUCUGUCUCCCAGGUUCUCCUGUUGUGCUGCGCUCUGCCUGUCCCUCCUUUCUUUCCAUGCUGCUACAGUGCCAUCAGAACUCCAUCACUCCUUACCUCCCCAUUCCAAGGAAUGCAGAAGGAGCCCAACAGAUGCUCACAACAGCAUCUCUGACCUGGUACCCACAUUCAGUCUUGGGAGAACCUGCAGUCUCGUCCACUAAUUAAAUUCCGAGUCCUUUCUGCUGGGACUGAUACCCGUCUCCAGGACUUUCCUGGUCUAUCUAAAAGGAUGGGGCUGUGCACAGACGACCACUAUCUCAGAACCCCCAUCGCAGGGUGAUCAAGGACCCU